rnacentral:snoRNA from 1 species
UGGGCCAAUGAUGAGAAUGUGUCAUGAACCAGGGAAUAAGAUUAAUCCAAUUCUGUGUACUGAAGGGUCAAA